AAUCUCUGGAAUAGUUUUUAGUAUUUUUGAAUCAAUAGGAAUUCUACAGUGGGUUAUUAUGCUUACUUUAUUAUGUUUACUUUAAACUUGUGUAUUUCUACUGGUUGAAAUUUGAUCCCAGAUUUAUUAACCUAAUUAGCUGGACAUUUUGAUGUCUUUGUGCUAUUGCACCAUUACUCCAGUAUCCUUUAUUUUUAUAUCCCCAGUAAAUCUAUCCUCCAUGAAAACAGAUGCUCUUUCACACUAUUUGCAUGCAAAGAACACUUGGUUUACUUGCAUUCACAGGUGCCCAUUUCCUUUUUCCCAGUAGAUUAUUUCUGCUGUUCAGACUGAAAAGAGCCUAUGUUUCAUUUGUUCAGAUUUCCCUUCAAGAGAACCAAGGUCAAAUGGAGGAUGACAUACACCCACUUCUUGCCCUGACUUGGAGUUGUAGCACAUUCAGGAGCAAAACUCUGCAACCUGAACUGCAAUGUCUACUAAAUCCUCCUGUCUCCUCCACCAGUGGAAUUUGAAAAAGAUCAGAUGAAUCUGGCUGAAUUCAGGAGAGCUGCAUGCAGAUAAACCUAAAAAAAAAUUUUGUUCAAAACAUUUUCCAUAUUUCAUAUGUUCUAAAAAGAAGCAAUAGUUCAAGACAAACCUAAACAAAGUCCAGAAUAGAAAUGAGUUCUGUAGGAAUUAGACCUUUUCAGUCAUUCCACUGAAAUCUCAGGUGGGCAUAAUUAUGCAGAAUGGCUAAGAAGAGAGGUACUAAAGUUCUAGCCCUUAAAUCUCAACUGGAAUGAAGGGUUAUCAAAUACAUGGGAAAUGGAUGUUAUGCUCUCUAUUUACAUUAGGUGGCACCGUUCUCACAUAUUUUCGGUUUACAUCAAGAAGCUGUAAAGCAAUCAUUCUGAAAUAAAGUGUGAAGUACUUUCAUAUGGUUGAUCCAGUUGAGUGUCAGGACAGAGUACUAGCUGUACGAGUUCAAGUUAUUGACUGAAGCAACCCAGUGGGAAAAGCAUUUAUACAUCUGGUCAGUGAAAGGAAAGAUCUUUGAUAUUUGGGGAUGAAGGCAGCAGGAACAUGGAGACCAUAGAGGAAUUGUGUCUGCUUUUCUGUUGCUGUGCUGCUACUUCCAAGCAGUCUCUGUUUGUGCUGCUGGCAAAAGAGAUUCCAUGUGGCUUCAGUCCAUGUGCUGAAGAGUCACGUUAGCCACGUUUGGCCACUUCAGUCACUUUAACCUGCUCAGGUGAAAGAACAUGAGUGAGUGCCUGGACAUAUUGACACAGUACUACCUUAGCAUAGUCACACAACUGAAUGCAGGUUGAGGAACUUUGGUUAGACAUGGAAGUUAGCAAAAAAGCAGAUAAAUUACCACCUGGCAACCUUAAUUCUAUUCUCUUAAGCAAUUGCAUUUCAAUACAAUUUUAGCUAUAUAAUCACAUCAUACUAUUCCCCUAUUAUUGCUUCUUACAUUUAAUUUAAAAAAUGGAUUCCUAUGGUAACUAAAUUAAGAUUUCAGAGGAAACUGUAGGUGCAGUGGUGGUUAGCUUUCAAGUGCUUGACCCCAAUCCUAUUUCAUACUUCUGCAUUGUUUUGGUUUUUUUUUCAUAUUGAAGUUUAAAUGGAAUGAUAACAUCAAAGUGAGGUGAAUUUUGAAUGUUUGUUACCACAGCUUCACAAGAGACUACCAUAGAUGGUUUCUGCUUUUCAUGUAUCACAAGUUCAAACCUACACACACUGCCUUGUGGAAAGUUUCAUUGUUUGAUUGGUUUGUUUCUAGAAGAAAAAUGCUUCUACUAAACACAGAAAUGUGUUCGUAUUUCAUGGGAGAUAUUACAUUCUGAAUAUCUUGAAAGGCAAUAGAAUAAGAGUAGUUGAUCUGCAAAUCCCACAAGGCA